CUAUAUUUCAGCUUAUUUUUGCAGUUCAAUACACCAUGGAGUUCUCCAUUGCCAUAGCAUCUAGAGAACCAAAUGCAUUGUUAAUAUGGUCCCAUUUGCAAAGAAAUCUAAAAUCUUCAAUCAAGUCAAUUCAUUUUGUUUUCAAUAGCAUCCACAUGCAUCUAUUUCAUUUGUUAAAGUUGGAUAAUUACCAAAGAAAAUGGAUCCAUCAACAAAAGAAAUAAAAUUGAUGAUAUUUUCUUAUAAUGUUCCGAAUGAUUUUGUACAUUAAACAGGCUGUACUUGUUUUAAAUGCUAUGGAAAACAAAAUGGAUUAAAUAUUGCAAGUUGAGAUGGAAUAGUUUCAUUUUCAUUGAGUACCCAAAUGCUUUUUAAAUGGAUAUCAAUAUCAAUGUUUCUCUUUUGCCAUUUUAAUUUUAUAAUCAUGGUAAUGUGAACUUUUUUCAUGUUCUAUUCCCAGUUACCAGCCUUGAGGAUACUGUAAAGCAGUGUACAACUGUCUUCCUAAGCAAGCAGGUUUAAUGGUCCCUGUGGUUAUUUCCACUUUGUUGCCUUCAAUUAUUUGCCAUUUGUAAUUUAUAGAUAUAAGAAUGAUGGGUAGUAGAAAUAUCUGUUUGAAUCUGUAAUUCCCUUCACAGGCUUCAUUUCUGUAUUCAAGUGACGGCUAUUUUCAUGUUGCCAGUGUUCAUUAGAGGUUCAAUCCGUUAUUUGAAUGAGAUCACAGAGAUUGAUAGACAUAGCCAAUAUUUUUGUAUGAAAUAAGAAUCCAAUUAUUUGUAUUCAGCUUAUUAAUGCCCUAAUGUCAUUUGAGAUUUCUUUCAUACGCACUACUAUCUCUCUACCUUUUCUUUUUUGUUUUCCUGUUUUGUCUUGGAUAUCUUAGUAAAGCAAUUUAUCUGGCAGUGGAAUAAAAUUUUGGGAAUUAUGCAGGUUUUCUUCUUAGUAAUGAUGAUCAUUACUGAAAUUGAUGCAACAUCAUAAAAGAAUAAUCUUCUAACAAAUAGAUUGUUUUGUGUAUUUAAAUUUCCAAAUGAAAAUACCACAAACUCUAAUCCUCAAGUAACAAUUAGAUUCACUUUGCAAUAAUCUAACAUUUCCUUGUUGUUUCCUCUUCCUUCCUAUAAUCAGGUUUAUGUUUACUAGCUCAGCAACCCAAUAUUUUUCCUCAGCGUAAGUUGGGCGUGUUACUGCAUCAAUGGCAAGAUUACCUGGCUCAUGAAUGAUCCAAUCGUUGAUCGGUAGUGACGGAAAAAAUUAUGAAGGUUUUUGGCAGAGUUCAUCCUGAUUUUUGGCUGUUGAUACUGACUUUGAACUUUCACUCUCAUGGCUCCCACUCAUUUUAGUUGCUCAUUUCUUGCCUGAAUAUAUUAGGACUAUUUGCUCUAUUUUACUUGACAUAAAUAGCUUCCUAAGUUACUUAUAAAGAAAAUCUUGUUAAAGGUGGUUUAAAGUCUCUGCAAGCUUGUCAGCAACUUGGGAUCGAACCAUGGUCAUGCACUUACUGCACCGAUUAAGAAAAUCUAACAUGCCAUCUCAUCUUGCUAUGCUCUAUUAAGUGAUGGUUUUUAUGGUUAACUGCUCAGUCUAUAAUUCCACAAAUCAGAGUGCUUAUAGAUUUACAUUUAAAUUUUGCUUUUGAAAUUAUUUCUACGAAAUUGGUGUUGUGUCUGCAGAUGUUGUAUCUAAAUGAAUGCAAAAUAUCUUGUAUUGUUUGAUAUUUGUUUUUUUUCACCUUGCAUAAUAUCUUACCGGAAUCUUACUACCAUGGUAGCUUGAGAAACAAUGCUGUGGAUAUUCAGAGUCAUUAUGUUUUAACUGGAUAUAGUAGGAACCCUCAAACAGAAGCUUUCUUGCAGUUUCUAGAACUUCCUUAUAUUCUUGAUAACAACACAUCAGAAUCAAGGGAACAAACCCGUAGUCCGGCUUCCUUUGUUUCUACAGGUGUAGGUUCCUUUGACCAUGACAGUGACGUGGAUGAAAUAGAAGAACUUGCUGAAGCUCAUGAUGCAGAAACCCAAGAGGAAAUUUUAUAGAACUUUGGAAAUCCCUGGGUAUUCCACCAAGAACCAAGUUAAUGUCGUUAUUGG